UACGGAGGGGGCUAGCGUUGUUCGGAAUUACUGGGCGUAAAGCGCACGUAGGCGGCUUUGCAAGUUAGAGGUGAAAGCCCGGGGCUCAACUCCGGAAUUGCCUUUAAAACUGCAUCGCUAGAAUUGUGGAGAGGUAAGUGGAAUUCCGAGUGUAGAGGUGAAACUCGUAGAUAUUCGGAAGAACACCAGUGGCGAAGGCGACUUACUGGACACAUAUUGACGCUGAGGUGCGAAAGCGUGGGGAGCAAACAGG
rnacentral:rRNA from 1 species